GACGAACCGAGCGAACGUUGUUCGGAAUCACUGGGCUUAAAGGGCGCGUAGGCGGGUGCUCAAGUCUGUGGUGAAAUCCUCCGGCUCAACCGGAGAACUGCCUUCGAUACUGGCGAUCUUCGAGUCCGGGAGAGGUGAGUGGAACUCCGAGUGUAGAGGUGAAAUUCGUAGAUAUUCGGAAGAACACCAGUGGCGAAGGCGGCUCACUGGCCCGGUACUGACGCUGAAAUACGAAAGCGUGGGGAGCAAACAGG
rnacentral:rRNA from 1 species